AAUUAUUAUUCAGGUAGUAAUGAGAACAAAACCUAUAAAACUUGGCGGUUAUAAUAUUUUAAAGAAACUUGUUUUAUAAUCGAUAAUACCCGAUAAUUUUUACUUAAAUAUGAAUGUUCAUAUAAUUUAUAUACCGUCGUUUAGAAAUUUUUAUAAUAAAAUAUCAAAAUCAACAUUUUUACAAAAAUCAGAUCAAGGUGUAAUUAAUUAUUAAGAAAAAAUAAGUUACAAUUAAAAAUAAUUUAAGGAAACAUAUAUUUAAAUAUAUAAGAAAAAGAAUUUAUUAUUAAUUUUGAAUUAAAAUUUCAAAUAGAAAUUAAUUUUUAUAAUGC
rnacentral:rRNA from 1 species